rnacentral:rRNA from 1 species
GGGCCAGACUCCUACGGGAGGCAGCAGUGGGGAAUAUUGCACAAUGGGGGAAACCCUGAUGCAGCAACGCCGCGUGAGUGAGGAAGUAUUUCGGUAUGUAAAGCUCUAUCAGCAGGGAAUAGAAAAGAAGGUACCUGAAAAAGUAGCCCCGGCUAACUACGUGCCAGCAGCCGCGGUAAUACGUAGGUGGCAAGCGUUAUCCGGAUUUACUGGGUGUAAAGGGCGUGUAGGCGGGAAAGCAAGUCAGAUGUGAAAACCAUGGGCUCAACCUGUGGCCUGCAUUUGAAACUGUUUUUCUUGAGUACUGGAGAGGCAGACGGAAUUCCUAGUGUAGCGGUGAAAUGCGUAGAUAUUAGGAGGAACACCAGUGGCGAAGGCGGUCUGCUGGACAGCAACUGACGCUGAGGCACGAAGGCCAGGGGAGCGAAAGGGAUUAGAUACCCCUGUA